rnacentral:rRNA from 1 species
GAUGAACGCUGGCGGCGUGCUUAACACAUGCAAGUCGAACGGAAAGGCUCCUGCUUGCAGGGGUACUCGAGUGGCGAACGGGUGAGUAACACGUGGGUGAUCUGCCCUGCACUUCGGGAUAAGCUUGGGAAACUGGGUCUAAUACCGGAUAGGACCGCAUUUUGGAUGGUGUGGUGGAAAGUUUUUUCGGUGUGGGAUGAGCUCGCGGCCUAUCAGCUUGUUGGUGGGGUAAUGGCCUACCAAGGCGUCGACGGGUAGCCGGCCCGAGAGGGUGUACGGCCACAUUGGGACUGAGAUACGGCCCAGACUCCUACGGGAGGCAGCAGUGGGGAAUAUUGCACAAUGGGCGCAAGCCUGAUGCAGCGACGCCGCGUGGGGGAUGACGGCCUUCGGGUUGUAAACUCCUUUCGCUAGGGACGAAGAGUAAUUGACGGUACCUGGAGAAGAAGCACCGGCUAACUACGUG